rnacentral:rRNA from 1 species
AAAUUGAAGAGUUUGAUCAUGGCUCAGAUUGAACGCUGGCGGCAGGCCUAACACAUGCAAGUCGAACGGUAACAGGAAGCAGCUUGCUGCUUUGCUGACGAGUGGCGGACGGGUGAGUAAUGUCUGGGAAACUGCCUGAUGGAGGGGGAUAACUACUGGAAACGGUAGCUAAUACCGCAUAACGUCGCAAGACCAAAGAGGGGGACCUUAGGGCCUCUUGCCAUCGGAUGUGCCCAGAUGGGAUUAGCUGGUAGGUGGGGUAACGGCUCACCUAGGCGACGAUCCCUAGCUGGUCUGAGAGGAUGACCAGCCACACUGGAACUGAGACACGGUCCAGACUCCUACGGGAGGCAGCAGUGGGGAAUAUUGCACAAUGGGCGCAAGCCUGAUGCAGCCAUGCCGCGUGUAUGAAGAAGGCCUUCGGGUUGUAAAGUACUUU